ACUUUACUAAGGUAAGAGAUUAGAAUUCAUGAUUCUUGAGUGGCAAGGAGAGGGGAGAUUGUCUAUGUCUCCAUUCCCGAACUCUCCCACUCAAUUUCUUUUUAGACUUUUGAUUAAGCUUUUGUAUGUGAGUGUGANNNNNNNNNNNNNNNAUUAAUGUUCCUUGAUAUCAUAUAUGCUUGGAAUUGUUGUUUAAGAGAAUUUAUAACAUGUUUGAAUGAAUUUUUGGUUGGAUCCAAUGUUAAACCGCCUUAGAAAACUCAAGAACAGAUAUUUUUCUGGUUUAGAUCGCUAAGCGACCAGGAGCUUCGCUUAGCGAAUAGCUCGCUACCUGUUCGCCAUGCACCUGUAAUCCUCUGACGUAGUUCGCUGCAGCGAACUGAGCUUCGCUUAGCGAAUAGUUCGCUACCUGUUCGCUACUGCUUCGCUUAGCGAACAGUACUGAACCUGCAACCUUUUGUUAAUGGUUGUAAGUGUAAUUAGGCACUUGUAACAUGGUUUAAGGGUAUCCUUACAUGAUUGUUGAUACAUGUUGAUGCUG
rnacentral:lncRNA from 1 species